UUAGGCCGGGAACUCAAAGGAGACUGCCAGUGAUAAACUGGAGGAAGGUGGGGAUGACGUCAAGUCAUCAUGGCCCUUACGACCAGGGCUACACACGUGCUACAAUGGCGCAUACAAAGAGAAGCGACCUCGCGAGAGCAAGCGGACCUCAUAAAGUGCGUCGUAGUCCGGAUUGGAGUCUGCAACUCGACUCCAUGAAGUCGGAAUCGCUAGUAAUCGUGGAUCAGAAUGCCACGGUGAAUACGUUCCCGGGCCUUGUACACACCGCCCGUCACACCAUGGGAGUGGGUUGCAAAAGAAGUAGGUAGCUUAACCUUCGGGAGGGCGCUUACCACUUUGUGAUUCAUGACUGGGGUGAAGUCGUAACAAGGUAACCGUAGGGGAACCUGCGGUUGGAUCACCUCCUUACCUUAAAGAA
rnacentral:rRNA from 5 species